AAUAGAUACCCGGGUAGUCCACCCCGUAAACGUUGGGAACUAGUUGUGGGGUCCAUUCCACGGAUUCCGUGACGCAGCUAACGCAUUAAGUUCCCCGCCUGGGGAGUACGGCCGCAAGGCUAAAACUCAAAGGAAUUGACGGGGACCCGCACAAGCGGCGGAGCAUGCGGAUUAAUUCGAUGCAACGCGAAGAACCUUACCAAGGCUUGACAUAUAGAGGAAACGGCUGGAAACAGUCGCCCCGCAAGGUCUCUAUACAGGUGGUGCAUGGUUGUCGUCAGCUCGUGUCGUGAGAUGUUGGGUUAAGUCCCGCAACGAGCGCAACCCUCGUUCUAUGUUGCCAGCACGUAAUGGUGGGAACUCAUGGGAUACUGCCGGGGUCAACUCGGAGGAAGGUGGGGAUGACGUCAAAUCAUCAUGCCCCUUAUGUCUUGGGCUUCACGCAUGCUACAAUGGCCGGUACAAAGGGCUGCAAUACCGUAAGGUGGAGCGAAUCCCAAAAAGCCGGUCCAGUUCGGAUUGAGGUCUGCAACUCGACCUCAUG
rnacentral:rRNA from 1 species